GCUUUGGAUCAGCAAUAUCAAUCAAUCUAUGUAAAUUUGUUCCUUCCUAAUUACUGGAGGUAUGGGAUCAAGCAGAGGCCCAAUGGUUCGGGCCAUAACUGAUAGGCUAUAUGAAGGAGGUAAUUAUUUCUUUUUUCAUUAUAAAAGUGAAUUGUUUCAAGAUAAAUAAUUGGAGAAAUUUGAAUUCGAAACCUCACUUUUU
rnacentral:misc_RNA from 1 species